GACGAACGCUGGCGGCGUGCCUAAUACAUGCAAGUUGAGCGCUGAAGGUUGGUACUUGUACCAACUGGAUGAGCAGCGAACGGGUGAGUAACGCGUGGGGAAUCUGCCUUUGAGCGGGGGACAACAUUUGGAAACGAAUGCUACUACCGCAUAAAAACUUUAAACACAAGUUUUAAGCUUGAAAGAUGCAAUUGCAUCACUCAAAGAUGAUCCCGCGUUGUAUUAGCUAGUUGGUGAGGUAAAGGCUCACCAAGGCGAUGAUACAUGGCCGACCUGAGAGGGUGAUCCGGCACAUUGGGACAGAGGCACGGCCCAAACACCGGCGGGGGGCAACAGUAGGGAAUCCUCGGGGAUGGAGCAAAGGCUGACCGAGCAACGUCGCGGGAGGGAAGAAGGUUUUCGGAUGGUAAAACUCUGUUGGUAGAAAAGAACGAUGGUGAGUGUGGAAAGGACCACAAGGGACGGUAACUACCCAGAAAGGGACGGCUAACUACGU
rnacentral:rRNA from 1 species